rnacentral:rRNA from 1 species
CUACGGGCCGCUCCAGUGGGGAAUUUUGCGCAAUGGGCGGAAGCCUGACGCAGCAAUACCGCGUGAGUGAAGAAGGCCUUUGGGUCGUAAAGCUCUUUUCUGAAGGAAGAUAGUGACGGUACUUCAGGAAUAAGCACCGGCUAACUCCGUGCCAGCAGCGCGGUAAUACGGAGGGUGCAAGCGUUGUUCGGAUUGACUGGGCGUAAAGGGCACGUAGGCGGCACAGCAAGUUAAGGGUGAAAUCCCGGGGCUCAACUCCGGAACUGCUCUUAAAACUGCUGAGCUAGAGAUAGUCAGAGGCGGGUGGAAUUCCUGGUGUAGAGGUGAUAUUCGUAGAUAUCAGGAGGAACACCGGUGGCGAAGGCGGCCCGCUGGGGCUAUUCUGACGCUAAGGUGCGAAAGCGUGGGGAGCGAACGGGAUUAGAUACCCCCGUAGUC